rnacentral:lncRNA from 1 species
UGUCUCGGGCAACCUGUAAACAGCCCAAGAGUUAGAUAAAAUUGCUGCCUCAUUCUACUGAGAAAAAGGGCCACUGCAGGGGCCAUCCUGGAGGGAGUCACAAUGCAGGAGGACAGUGGCAAGUUCAAGAGCUACUGCAGCCGGGGAACAGCAGGACAGCAGCACGUUCAAGGGCUCUUGCAGCAGGGCAUAGCAGGGAAAGGCCUCCCUGGGUCUAACCAAUUUACUCCUAUUGAUUUUCAGAUCAGAGGGGUUCAGCUCACAAAUCAAAAGAUGGUUUUCCCUCCCUGCUGCUAAAUCUGCAGCCUCUCCCAGACACCUCACAAAUUCUGCUUUGAUCUUGAUUAGCCUGGAUGCUUCUAGGUUGGAAACUGUAUGGAGGAGGCAGAGAUCUAAAGGUAAUCUGGGCUGCACCAGUCAGCCUGGCAUGGACUGGUGCAUGUACGUGUGCUCACAGGUCCUGGGCGAUGAGGCCGGGCAGCCCAGUGGUGAGAGGUCUGGGAGCUGGGUCCUGAUGUGGGCAUCAUCACCCACUUGUUUAUAACCUUUCACACUUAAACUCCCUAGGCUCUUUUUCUCAAUUGUCAAAUGGAAAUAAGAGCCAUUCCAGCCUUAUGGCUAAGGAACUGGAGCUUCAGAAUCAAACAGAACUGGGUUCAACUCCCACCUAUGUCCUGUGUUACCUCAGGCAAGUCACAUCACCUCUCUGAGCCUCCAUUCCUUCAUCUGAAAAAUAAGCUUCCAGCAAUUCUGGACUCUCAGAGUCAUUGUGAGAAUGACUCAAGAUGAUGCACAUAGAAGUAUUUAACACUUGAAUGGCUUCUAGCAAGAUCAGGAAACACCACCUAUUACUACUAAAUGGGGCUUUGGUAAGAAUAAAACAGAAUCAUGUGUGUAAAGUGCUUUGAAAAGUACAAAGGACUGAAAAGACUCUGAAGGCUUCUGGAAAUCAGUCUACCACAUUUUGGAGCUGGGGUUAGGAAAGACCCUUGGAAGAGGAUCCAAAGAAAGACACUCCAGAGCAAGAUAUAUAGGAGGCCCAAGGACAACCUGCAGUGCAGGGCAGGCCACUUUCUGGGGCUCCAGGUGUUUUCUAUAUGAUUGUGAUCUUGAUGCUCCCCACCUCACCCCACUGUCAGCCCCAAAAAUUCCCAUUGUAUACAAUUCCUUUUACAGACCUACAGCGUGGCAUGGAUAUCCACUGGCUGGCACACCAGAAGCCAUGUUAGACUAAGAGGUGACUCAGGAUGGCCAUGCACUGGAGGUAGCAAAGCAGAGAGAAAGGAGUCUGCCUGAUGACAGCCUACAGCCUCCAUUACCAGGCCUGGGCCAAUCACCUCUGGACUUUUUCUACAUGAGAGAAUAAACCAUUAUAUGUUUAAAUCUGUAUUGUUUCCAGCUUUUAUAUGGCAGGAAGAAGUCUUACUAACUUCAACUGUUUAAAAUUCUGUUCAGAGGCCUAGUGCCUAGUAGGUUAUUCCCAGCCUGAGCCCUGAGCUGAGACUCAUUACUAAUGGCUUUCAAAUCAGUGGGAAGCAAGUUUGGAAAUGUGUUCAUCAUCGUUACUGGUAAAUAUUGAUUAAGA